GGCGAACGCUGGCGGCGUGCUUAACACAUGCAAGUCGUACGGUAAGGCCCUUUCGGGGGUACACGAGUGGCGAACGGGUGAGUAACACGUGAGUAACCUGCCCACAACUUUGGGAUAACGCUAGGAAACUGGUGCUAAUACUGGAUAUGUGCUCCUGCUGCAUGGUGGGGGUUGGAAAGCUCCGGCGGUUGUGGAUGGACUCGCGGCCUAUCAGCUUGUUGGUGGGGUAGUGGCCUACCAAGGCGGCGACGGGUAGCCGGCCUGAGAGGGUGACCGGCCACAUUGGGACUGAGAUACGGCCCAGACUCCUACGGGAGGCAGCAGUGGGGAAGAUUGCACAAUGGGCGCAAGCCUGAUGCAGCAACGCCGCGUGCGGGAUGACGGCCUUCGGGUUGUAAACCGCUUUCAGCAGGGACGAAGCUUUUUGUGACGGUACCUGCAGAAGAAGCACCGGCUAACUACGUG
rnacentral:rRNA from 1 species